AGCGAACGCUGGCGGCAGGCCUAAUACAUGCAAGUCGAGCGGGUCCUUCGGGAUUAGCGGCGGACGGGUGAGUAACGCGUGGGAACGAGCCCUUUGGUACGGAACAACUGAGGGAAACUUCAGCUAAUACCGUAUGUGCCCUUCGGGGAAAGAUUUAUCGCCAUUGGAGCGGCCCGCGUUGGAUUAGGUAGUUGGUGAGGUAAAGGCUCACCAAGCCUACGAUCCAUAGCUGGUCUGAGAGGAUGACCCAGCCACACUGGGACUGAGACACGGCCCAGACUCCUACGGGAGGCAGCAGUAGGGAAUCUUACGCAAUGGGCGAAAGCCUGACGCAGCCAUGCCGCGUGAAUGAUGAAGGUCUUAGGAUUGUAAAUUCUUUCACCGGGGACGAUAAUGACGGUACCCGGAGAAGAAGCCCCGGCUAACUUCGUGCCAGCAGCCGCGGUAAU
rnacentral:rRNA from 1 species